CCACUUCAAACCAGGGGCACAGGAGAGCGGCGUUUCACACACGGAGAGAGGCAGGCAGACCUGGCCCCACACAGCCUGGCUGGGGAGCCUUUCCAAGCAACCAGUUGGGCGCCUUUCGCCAGCCCCCGAGCCGAGGAUAGCGCUGGAAGCGUCCCCACACACACACCUCCUCCCGCCGCCUCUGCUGAAGACCUGGCCCGGGCGCCUUUGUUGUUGCUGCUGCCAGAGACCGAGCCGGCCGGGCUGCUGCUUAAGACGCGCUGAUCCUUAGCUAAGCUGGCCCCGAGCUCUUCCUUGACUCCCCGCCUGCGCCCCCGGACCUCUCCGGCCAUCCCUUCCAGCCCGAGGUGGCCGCGCUCGGCCUUCUCGAACUUCUGGACGCCGCUCGCCUAGGGCAGCAAAAAACUUGGGGCCUUAUUCGUGGGGUGGGGGGCAAGGGUUGGGGGCCGGCCCAGGUUGCUUCGGCUGCGCCUAGCAGGGCGACGGAGCGCUCCCUCUCUCCUCUAAGCCUGUUAGGGACACAUUCUCAUGUCCUUAAACGUACAAGCAGAUAAUUGUUGGCGCUCUAGCUUUGUGCGAAGGGGGCCAGGGUGUAAAUGCCGUUUAAUGACUGCAGCUGCUGGCUGAAAACUGUCAAUGGAAUUGGCUAAUGCAGAGGCCCCGGGAAAAGGGGGCUGUUUUUUUGUUUUUUUUUUUGCAAGCGAGCUGCAGAAACCGAGCGCCGCUGGAGCCGAAGAGGGAGCUGGAGAGGGCAGGAGAGACAGACAGACCGACCGACCGAGGGACGGCAAGAAAAGGAAGACGCAAAGGAAGAAAAGAGACCGGGGGUGGGGGGGGGGGGCGGAUAGAGAAAGAAGCCAGGAUCGCAGCAGCCAAGCCAAGCGCUCUUCAUCCAGGCCACGGAAAGCAAAGACCUUCUGCUCUUGAGAAAAUCCUUUCCGGAUCCUGUUCACCGGGUUGCAGUGCUGGUGGCUGGGAACAGAACAGCUGGUGUCCUGCCUUAAUUGGAUUUAUGGACUAAGUCACCCUGUGUAGAAGGCUAAAGAAGAUGUAGAUCAAUGAAUUCAGCAAAGAAGCAACCACAAGAUGAAAGGAGGAAACAUCUGUCAGACUUCUGUUUGGGUGCCUAAGGGUGCAAUCCUUAUCUCAUUAUUGAUGGCAAACAAUGAUGUUAAUGAAUCAGCACUCCAUUCAUAAAACUUUAAAAUUCUGCAUACUUAAGGAGGACUUUUCAAAUCUGUUCAGAUUUUUUUUUUAUGUAUGGUUAGGGAAAUGACGGUCAAAACAGAGGUGAUGUAUACCUCCAGUCAGUAGAUGGUGCUAUACUAUUUCUUACUGGUAUUAUUAUCCUAUCUGGAAGUUCAGCCAAUUGGCCAAUCUGGCAGGGGCUGAUGGGAUUUGUAGUCCAUGAACAUCUGGAGAGCCGCAGGUUGCAGACCCCUGUGUCUGCUACCAGCAAAAAUUCAUUUAAUAAAGAUUAUUUCUUCAAUCAAGGAUUAGAAUAGUGUGAACAAUGUAAUGGGGAAAAAUUUCAAGCCCACAAUUCAUAGCUGUCUCCUUUGUUCUUUGAUUUCUCUCUGGUCUUUUAUGCCAGUGAUACAUGAGAGGGUGGUUUGAAUGAAAAGCUCCAUCUAUCAAGUUUAACAAUUUCUCUGGUGUAACUUCUGAGCACGCUCAUUGCCUAUUCAUGUCGAAGUGAGCAUGCCCAGCUUGUUCUGCCUAGCUUUGCUAUUCUUCUUUGUUUGUUCACAAGGCUCUUGUGGUAGCUGCAAACGGUUUCUCAAGUGACAUUUGCUGACAUUCAGGGGAGUGUAUUUAUCAGCUUUCUUCAGCUCACCUCUAUACAUGCAAUCCAUUUUAUUUGUGUUCUUCAUAGCAACCUUCUUUUUUCUAUCCAUGCCCUGAAAAUAAUAAAUGGCGAGAUGGCAAAUUUCCCUAGCUGCACUAAAAUGUCACUGUGAAGUGUGUAUAUGUGUGCGUGGGGGGGAAGGGGGGGAGAUCUUUAAUGGACUAAGUAUAGCAUUUCAGGUUGUAACUUAUCAAGGUACUGGGAAAUUCUAGAGUUUUUUUUUAAUCCACAAUUCUUUGGAACCACACUAGUGUAGGCAGAGAGUCUAAUUAUAAGUUACACCAGUCAGAGGUGGACAAGCAUAAACCAAGUGGAAAACAUUUCACGGCUGCUAAUUUUAUAUCUCACUUCUUUGUAUUCUCAACACUCUGCUACUUCGUUCCCCAACAUUACACGGACCCAGUGUGUUUACCUAUGUUCUAA